AUAUGUUUAUGGGAUAUUUUUGUAAAAGCUCAUUGUAUCACUCCCAAGCUUCAUACAUGGACUCAUCAUUUGCCUGCGGAAAAUAAAUUAUAUCGUUAUGCAAUUU